CUUCACCCUAUUCAAAUCAAAUAAUAUUGUGUAUGUGCAUACAUAUGUAUGUACGUGUCGCUUGAGCACAGUUCGAUUCCAAUCUCUCUGAACGUUCAGUGUGAGCCUGCAGUUUAAGUUUUCUAAAGCAGCUGUAAAUAUUUUAAUUUCACAAUUCUACUGAUAAGAACAGACAAACGUAUUUCAAAGCUUGAACAACAUGGACAUUUCGCUACUGUCUGCUCUGACACUGAUGCUGGCUGUCUGGGCCGUGGCUGUGGCUGGGGAUUGUGUGACAGAUCCAGUGACAAUGCUGUGCAUAUUGGAUCCCAAUCAGGGCUAAUAACCAUAUCCCCCUGUGUCUAUCUUGAAUAAAAUGGAAACGUGGA